UCGAGCGGUAAGGCCCUUCGGGGUACACGAGCGGCGAACGGGUGAGUAACACGUGGGUGACCUGCCCUCAGCUCUGGGAUAAGCCUGGGAAACCGGGUCUAAUACCGGAUAGGACUGCAUGCUUCAUGGUGUGUGGUGGAAAGUUUUUCGGCUGGGGAUGGGCCCGCGGCCUAUCAGCUUGUUGGUGGGGUGAUGGCCUACCAAGGCGACGACGGGUAGCCGGCCUGAGAGGGCGACCGGCCACACUGGGACUGAGACACGGCCCAGACUCCUACGGGAGGCAGCAGUGGGGAAUAUUGCGCAAUGGGCGGAAGCCUGACGCAGCGACGCCGCGUGGGGGAUGACGGCCUUCGGGUUGUAAACCUCUUUCGCCAGGGACGAAGCGUGAGUGACGGUACCUGGAUAAGAAGCACCGGCCAACUACGUGCCAGCAGCCGCGGUAACACGUAGGGUGCGAGCGUUGUCCGGAAUUAUUGGGCGUAAAGAGCUCGUAGGCGGUGUGUCGCGUCGGCCGUGAAAACCUGGGGCUUAACUCUGGGCUUGCGGUCGAUACGGGCAUCACUGGAGUUCGGCAGGGGAGACUGGAAUUCCUGGUGUAGCGGUGAAAUGCGCAGAUAUCAGGAGGAACACCGGUGGCGAAGGCGGGUCUCUGGGCCGAUACUGACGCUGAGGAGCGAAAGCGUGGGGAGCGAACAGGAUUAGAUACCCUGGUAGUCCACGCCGUAAACGUUGGGCGCUAGGUGUG
rnacentral:rRNA from 1 species